GAGGGUAUAGCUUAGUGGUAGAGUUUGGGCUUAGCAUGAAUGGGGUCCUGGGUUCAAUCCCCAGUACCUCCA
rnacentral:tRNA from 1 species